UACGAAGGGGGCUAGCGUUGCUCGGAAUUACUGGGCGUAAAGGGCGCGUAGGCGGAUAGUUCAGUCAGAGGUGAAAGCCCAGGGCUCAACCUUGGAAUUGCCUUUGAUACUGGCUGUCUUGAGUAUGGGAGAGGUUAGCGGAACUCCGAGUGUAGAGGUGAAAUUCGUAGAUAUUCGGAAGAACACCAGUGGCGAAGGCGGCUAACUGGCACAUUACUGACGCUGAGGCUCGAAAGCGUGGGGAGCAAACAGG
rnacentral:rRNA from 1 species